GCAUCGAUAGCUCAGUGGCAGAGCGGUGGGGCGUUUGCCCAUGCGGCCCGGGUUCGAUCCCCGGUCGAUGCA